GCGGGAUCAGUUGGAGGACAGUGUGACCUGGAGGAAAGAAUGCCAGGCUUCUGACUCUGCCAGGAGCCAGCAGUGGAAUGUCAGCAAGUCCCUUGCCGUGUUUCUGCUUCUGUUUUCUAAUCUGUAAGUCGAAAUAAGAAUGUCUAACUCCACACAGGGUUGGCAGUGGGAUGAGGCCGUAUAUGUGAGAGCACUUUGGGAAGAAAUAAAUAACGACAUUUGUCGUACAUAAGAUGUCACUCCUAAGAGUGGACUUCACAAGAAAGGAAGUGUGUUUGAUCUCAGC
rnacentral:lncRNA from 1 species